rnacentral:tRNA from 1 species
GCGCCCGUAGCUCAGCUGGAUAGAGCGUCGGCCUUCGAAGCCGCAGGCCGCAGGUUCGAGUCCUGCCGGGCGCACCA